UGUUGCGGUAGGACGGAAGGGGGACGCCUUGUGCGUGCUGGUUCUUUACUAUCAGUCUGUCAACCCACUUUCGUUCUGCCACCAUA
rnacentral:antisense_RNA from 1 species